GAUGAACGCUAGCGGCAGGCUUAAUACAUGCAAGUCGAGGGGGCAGCAAUGUCACCGGCGAACGGGUGCGUAACACGUAUGCAACCUACCUAUAUCAGGGGGAUAGCCCGAGGAAACUCGGAUUAAUACCGCAUAACAUUAGGAUGGGCAUCGAGUUUAAUUGAAAGAUUUAUUGGAUAUAGAUGGGCAUGCGUAGGAUUAGCUAGUUGGUAAGGUAACGGCUUACAAAGGCUACGAUCCUUAGGGGCUCUGAGAGGAGUAUCCCCCACACUGGCACUGAGAUACGGGCCAGACUCCUACGGGAGGCAGCAAUAGGGAAUAUUGGGCAAUGGGCGAAAGCCUGACCCAGCCAUGCCGCGUGCAGGAAGACGGCCCUCUGGGUUGUAAACUGCUUUUGAAUGGGAAGAAAGGUAUGCUUGCGAGCGUAAUUGACGGUACCAUUAGAAUAAGCCACGGCUAACUACGUGCCAGCAGCCGCCGCGG
rnacentral:rRNA from 1 species